rnacentral:sRNA from 1 species
GCCCGGUGUGGUGGUGCACGCCUGUAAUCCCAGUCGCUUGGGAGGCUGAGACGGGAGGAUCCUGUUCAAAGCCAGCCUCAGCAACUCAGUGAGAUCCUAUCUCUA